rnacentral:rRNA from 1 species
GACAGAGGGUGCAAGCGUUGUUCGGAAUUACUGGGCGUAAAGCGCGCGUAGGCGGCUGUCUAAGUCGGGUGUGAAGGCCCCGGGCUCAACCUGGGAACUGCAUUCGAUACUGGACGGCUAGAGUAUGAGAGAGGGAGGUAGAAUUCCACGUGUAGCGGUGAAAUGCGUAGAUAUGUGGAGGAAUACCGGUGGCGAAGGCGGCCUCCUGGUUCAAUACUGACGCUGAGGUGCGAAAGCGUGGGGAGCAAACAGG